rnacentral:rRNA from 1 species
AUUGAACGCUGGCGGCAUGCCUUACACAUGCAAGUCGAACGGUAACAGGUUAAUCUGACGAGUGGCGAACGGGUGAGUAAUGUAUCGGAACGUGCCCAGUCGUGGGGGAUAACUGCUCGAAAGAGCAGCUAAUACCGCAUACGACCUGAGGGUGAAAGCGGGGGCUCGCAAGACCUCGCGCGAUUUGAGCGGCCGAUAUCCGAUUAGGUAGUUGGUGAGGUAAAGGCUUACCAAGCCGACGAUCUGUAGCUGGUCUGAGAGGACGACCAGCCACACUGGGACUGAGACACGGCCCAGACUCCUACGGGAGGCAGCAGUGGGGAAUUUUGGACAAUGGGCGCAAGCCUGAUCCAGCCAUGCCGCGUGCGGGAAGAAGGCCUUCGGGUUGUAAACCGCUUUUGUCAGGGAAGAAAAGGUUCUGGCUAAUACCUGGGACUCAUGACGGUACCUGAAGAAUAAGCACCGGCUAACUACGUG